UUUACAAAGUAAUCGGAUUUGUGAAGUUGCUGCUACUGGCUGACCAGCCCUCUGGUUUGCAGUGCACCUCAUGUGGAGAGCACCAUGCCUCAUAGGCUUCAUCCCAAGGAUGCCCCUGUAGAAGCGUCGAGCUCUCCGUGUGGAUUCUCUUCAAUAAGACAGUGCAUUUAAGGAAAGGAAUUCUUGCCUGAUAUAUUUGUGUUCGUGGCAACGUUGAGCUGAAUACCUCAAUGCAAAAUCUAAAGCACCAAAAUUUCUAGGAAAAAGAAUAGGAAGAAGAGAUGGAAGCGAGUACCACGGGAGUGAGGAUCUUGCACUCCAGCAUUUGCAGCUCAGGAGAAGGAAGGCCACAAUGGGGACCACACAAGAACAGAUUGGGAGAAGAGAUGUUGAACAGUAUCCUUCUUGAUUUUGAAGUCCACAUCCUUUGCUUUCUACUUUGUGAACUGCCAAAACAGUAGCAUAUAUCUGAAACCUUCAAUUUCAUUUCUUAAACGUCCUAAAACAUUC